AAAAACAAGACUACAAUCCCGCUCUGUCUCCCCAGUGUUCAGACUACCUGUUCAGGUCGAUGCUAUUGUACAGUAGUCUGCACAUUGGUUAGACUGUGCGUGGAAAACUCUUCGAGCUGCU
rnacentral:pre_miRNA from 17 species